rnacentral:lncRNA from 1 species
CCACAAAAUAGAGAACUCCAAGAGACAGAAGUGUUAGAAUUUCAUGUCAAGACAUGCAUGUAUGUUUUAAAAUUUUUUUUUCUAAACAAUAUAGUGGAAUAGAAAAUUAAAAUAUCUUCUAAUCUAAAUCAUGCAUGCAUAAAACAUAAAAUACAAAUAUAUACUUUAUAUGCUGAAAUUGAACACAUGCUAAAUUUUAUGUUGAAAUUAAAUAUGUAAUCGAAUCAUAUAUCUGUUUUAUAAUUUUUUUCUUCGAAUCUAGAUCCA